AUUGAACGCUGGCGGCAGGCUUAACACAUGCAAGUCGAGCGGGGUGAUGGUGCUUGCACUAUCACUUAGCGGCGGACGGGUGAGUAAUGCUUAGGAAUCUGCCUAUUAGUGGGGGACAACAUCUCGAAAGGGAUGCUAAUACCGCAUACGUCCUACGGGAGAAAGCAGGGGAUCACUUGUGACCUUGCGCUAAUAGAUGAGCCUAAGUCGGAUUAGCUAGUUGGUGGGGUAAAGGCCUACCAAGGCGACGAUCUGUAGCGGGUCUGAGCAGAGGAUCCGGCACAAUGGGCCCGGGAAACGGGCCAGACUGCUACGGGGGGCGGCAGUGGGGAAAAUUGGACAAUGGGGGGAUCCCUGAUCCAGACAUGCCGCGGGUGUGAAGAAGGCCUUAUGGUUGUAAAGCACUUUAAGCGAGGAGGAGGCUCUUUUGGUUAAUACCCAAGAUGAGUGGACGUUACUCGCAGAAUAAGCACCGGCUAACUCUGUGCCAGCCGCCGCAGUAA
rnacentral:rRNA from 1 species